rnacentral:rRNA from 1 species
AACGCGAAGAACCUUACCCAGUCUUGACAUAUAGUAGACAGCUCCAGAAAUGGAGUCUUCCUUCGGGACUGCUAUACAGGUGCUGCAUGGCUGUCGUCAGCUCGUGCCGUGAGGUGUUGGGUUAAGUCCCGCAACGAGCGCAACCCUUAUCACUAGUUGCCAACACGUAAUGGUGGGAACUCUAGUGAGACUGCCUGGGUUAACCAGGAGGAAGGUGAGGAUGACGUCAAGUCCGCAUGGCCCUUAUGACUGGGGCUACACACGUGCUACAAUGGUCGGUACAGAAGGCAGCGAAGCCGUGAGGCGUAGCAAAUCCCAAAAAGCCGAUCUCAGUUCAGAUUGUAGUCUGCAACUCGACUACAUGAAGACGGAAUUGCUAGUAAUGGCGAGUCAGCAACAUCGCCGUGAAUACGUUCCCGGGUCUUGUACACACCG